rnacentral:misc_RNA from 1 species
UACGUCGAUCCUAGAAACCAACAAAAUAAGAUCAAACGUCCUAUUUCAUUAUUCCAUGCUAAUGUAUUCAAGCGCGAGCCUGCUUUAAACACUCUAAUUUUUUCAAAGUAACAGUCCUGAUUCCCCGCCACACCAAAUAAAUGGCAUAACGGUUCUUCAGAAGGGAGGAAUCAGUGACACCAGUACAUACCAAAGGCACGACCAGCG